rnacentral:rRNA from 1 species
AUGGUAGACCACAUGGAGCUCUCUGUGGAGAGCGGCGGCGGUGGCAGGCCCCCGCCUACGCCCCAGAUCAGCCUUGUGGGACUGUUCCUCGCGUGCAUGGUCGCCGGCGGUGUGCAGUACGGCUGGGCGCUGCAACUCUCCCUCCUCACCCCUUACGUCCAGACAUUGGGAAUACCUCACGCUCUUACUUCAGUUAUGUGGCUCUGUGGUCCUAUUGCUGGAUUAAUUGUGCAACCAUGUGUGGGUCUCUCUAGUGACAAGUGUGGUUCGCCACUAGGGAGGCAGAGACCGUUUAUCCUCUCAGGAUGCAUCGUCAUCUCCAUAUCGGUUAUAAUUGUUGGGUUCUCCUCGGACAUCGGGUACGCACUCGGGGACACGAAGGAGGAUUGCAAAGAUUACACUGGGCCUCGGUACCGUGCGGCUGCUGCCUUCAUUUUGGGCUUCUGGCUGCUCGACUUCUCCAAUAACACAGUGCAAGAUGAAUGGAAGUGUUCUUACUUGGAGUGGGUUGAUCAAGAGUGGCCACAGUCUUUGAAGAUGUGCCUAGCAAAGCUUUGGAUCACGUAUGAGGAAGAGAACAAAGAUAGGCUUAGAGAAAGUGUUCUCAACACUGAAGAAUAUUUCAAGAUGUGGCAAAAAAAGAGCAAGAUGGAGAAUGAGCUCAGAUGUUUUAAAUUAGACUUUGCUAAGAUGGUGUUGGCAAAGGAGGAGGCACUUUCCAGGUUGGUGAGUGCAAAACAGGUUCUUACUGAACUGAAAGUAGAGGUGGAGAAGACAAAUCUGGCUGAUCAUGCAUCGAUCGAUUAG